CCUACGGGAGACAGCAGUGGGGAAUAUUGGGCAAUGGAGGAAACUCUGACCCAGCGACGCCGCGUGCGGGAUGAAGGCCUUCGGGUUGUAAACCGCUUUCAGUAGGGAAGAAGCGAAAGUGACGGUACCUACAGAAGAAGCACCGGCUAACUAUGUGCCAGCAGCCGCGGUAAUACAUAGGGUGCAAGCGUUGUCCGGAAUUAUUGGGCGUAAAGAGCUCGUAGGUGGUUCGUCACGUCGGAUGUGAAAAUCUGGGGCUCAACCCCAGACCUGCAUUCGAUACGGGCGAUCUAGAGUGUGGUAGGGGAGACUGGAAUUCCUGGUGUAGCGGUGGAAUGCGCAGAUAUCAGGAGGAACACCAAUGGCGAAGGCAGGUCUCUGGGCCAUUACUGACACUGAGGAGCGAAAGCGUGGGGAGCGAACAGGAUUAGAUACCCUGGUAGUCCACGCCGUAAACGGUGGGCACUAGUUGUGGGAACCUUCCACGGUUUCUGCGACGCAGCUACGCAUAAGUGCCCGCCGUCGGGAGGUACGAUCGCAGAAUUAAACUAACAAGGAAAGUUAGACGGCGUGAGACGUGCCGAACGGACGACCGACGAGGGAGGUAGG
rnacentral:rRNA from 1 species